GGAGGGGUGGUCGAGUGGUUAAUGGCAACGGGCUGUAAACCCGUCGGGAGAGAUCCCUACGCAGGUUCGAAUCCUGCCCCCUCCACCA
rnacentral:tRNA from 1 species